rnacentral:rRNA from 1 species
AGUGAACGCUGGCGGUAGGCCUAACACAUGCAAGUCGAACGGCAGCACAGUAAGAGCUUGCUCUUACGGGUGGCGAGUGGCGGACGGGUGAGGAAUACAUCGGAAUCUACUUUUUCGUGGGGGAUAACGUAGGGAAACUUACGCUAAUACCGCAUACGACCUACGGGUGAAAGCAGGGGAUCUUCGGACCUUGCGCGAUUGAAUGAGCCGAUGUCGGAUUAGCUAGUUGGCGGGGUAAAGGCCCACCAAGGCGACGAUCCGUAGCUGGUCUGAGAGGAGGGCGAGCAAACUUGGACUGGAGAAACGGCCCAGCUCCCUACGGGAGGAGGCAGUGGGGAUAUUGGACAAUGGGCGAAAGCCUGAUGCAGCCGUACCGCGUGGGUGAAGAAGGCCUUCGGGUUGUAAAGCCCUUUUGUUGGGAAAGAAAAGCAGCAGGUUAAUACCCCGCUGUUCUGGCGGUACCCAAGGAAUAAGCACCGGCUAACUUCGUG